rnacentral:RNase_P_RNA from 1 species
AGAUGGCUGGAUGACCGCUGCCACCAAUGGAGAAAUCUGGUGGAAGAGGAAAGUCCGGGCUCCACAGGAUCAGGAUGCCGGGUAACGCCCGGCGGGGGCGACCCUAGGGAAAGUGCCGCAGAAAACAGACCGCCUGCCCGCCCCAAGGGACGCACGUAGGUAAGGGUGAAAAGGUGCGGUAAGAGCGCACCGCCAGGCUGGCAACAGGCUGGGCAGGGCAAACCCCAUCCGGAGCAAGACCAUGUAGGGACACAUGCCGCAUGCGGCUGGUGCGAUCCUGCACCGAUGUCCGGGUAGGUCGCUUGAGGCGGCUGGCAACAGUCCGCACUAGAUGAAUGGUCAUCGCCCGCUGCGGUCAUGCAGGCGGGACACAGAACCCGGCUUAUAGGCCAUCU